rnacentral:pre_miRNA from 1 species
AAUGAAAUAACUGGGUCAAAUGGUGGUUCCAUUCCACAUUUUCUAAGGAAUCUCCAUACUGCUUUCUAGAGUCGUUGCACCAGUUUGCAGUCUCACCAGCAAU